rnacentral:rRNA from 1 species
UACGGGGGGAGCAAGCGUUGUUCGGAUUUACGGGGCGUAAAGGGCGCGUAGGCGGUCAGCACAAGUCAGUUGUGAAAUCUCCGGGCUUAACUCGGAAAGGUCAACUGAUACUGUGCGACUAGAGUGCGGAAGGGGCAACUGGAAUUCUCGGUGUAGCGGUGAAAUGCGUAGAUAUCGAGAGGAACACCUGCGGCGAAGGCGGGUUGCUGGGCCGACACUGACGCUGAUGCGCGAAAGCCAGGGGAGCGAACGGG